UACGUAGGGUGCAGGCGUUAAUCGGAAUUACUGGGCGUAAAGCGUGCGCAGGCGGUUUGCUAAGACAGGUGUGAAAUCCCCGAGCUUAACUUGGGAACUGCGCUUGUAACUGGCAAGCUAGAGUGCGGCAGAGGGGGGUGGAAUUCCACGUGUAGCAGUGAAAUGCGUAGAGAUGUGGAGGAACACCGAUGGCGAAGGCAGCCCCCUGGGUCGACACUGACGCUGAGGCGCGAAAGCUAGGGGAGCAAACGGG
rnacentral:rRNA from 1 species